rnacentral:lncRNA from 1 species
UCGGGAUCCGCGGCAGCAGCGGCUGCUUGAGAUCUGUUUCUGGGGCCUCUGGCGGUGGCGGCCUGGGGCGGCGCGACGGCUGGUGCGCAGGUACACUGAUGCUGAAGUACUAUGAGCCUUCGGAACUUGUGGAGAGACUACAAAGUUUUGGUUGUUAUGGUCCCUUUAGUUGGGCUCAUACAUUUGGGGUGGUACAGAAUCAAAAGCAGCCCUGUUUUCCAAAUACCUAAAAACGACGACAUUCCUGAGCAAGAUAGUCUGGGACUUUCAAAUCUUCAGAAGAGCCAAAUCCAGGGGAAGUAGCAGGCUUGCAAUCUUCAGGUAAGUUCCAUUUAAUCUGGUUGGUUAAUCAUAUGGCACAUUCCAACAAUGGGAAACUCAAUCUUUUAGAUCUCUGGCAAGGAAAAGCCUAAAUUGGUAAGUUACCUGUUGUUUUUAUUGUGACCCACUGGCAAAAUACUAUUCUGCAGUUGUUUCUAGAAAAGUUCGUUGUGCAGAGACAUUUGACACUUGCCUGGCAGUCAAUUGAAUGCAAAGGGAAAGAGCAGUUUUGCUAGCAGCAUCACCAGGAUCAUGAAUGUGUGCAAAGGAGCCCCUGACUCCUUACCAUUACAUAUCACAAAAGUCCAAAUUUAUACAAGAUUAUUUUCUUCUAUUAGUGUUCUUUUUUUUUUAACAAUACAAAACUAAUUGUAUUCAUUUCUUAACAUCAACUAUUUUAGCUUGACCAUAAUUUGUUACUUUUGAGAGUCACUGAAAUAAAGAGGAUGAAGUUAUAUAAUUUAGGUCUAUAGUCCCUUAUCCAUAAUUCC